CAAUAGCGUAUAUUAAAGUUGUUGCAGUUAAAAAGCUCGUAGUUGGAUUUCUGGUGGGAGCGAUCGGUCUGGCGCUUAGCGCGAGUACUUGCAUCGUCUCCGGCCAUCCUUGGGGAGAGUCUGUCUGGCAUUAAGUUGUCGGGCAGAGGAUCCUCAUCGUUUACUGUGAAAAAAUUAGAGUGUUCAAAGCAGGCUUAUGCCGUUGAAUAUGUUAGCAUGGAAUAAUAAGAUAGGACUUUGGUACUAUUUUGUUGGUUUGCGCACCAAAGUAAUGAUUAACAGGGACAGUUGGGGGUAUUCGUAUUCCGUUGUCAGAGGUGAAAUUCUUGGAUUUACGGAAGACGAACUACUGCGAAAGCAUUUACCAAGGAUGUUUUCAUUAA
rnacentral:rRNA from 1 species